ensembl:lncRNA
CACAUUAAUAAUUCUUGACCAUAAUUUUUAUAUAGACUCGGGUUUGCCCCGUGAUGGUUCCCUCAUAGUUUGAAGAACAUUCCUUUGGCCAAUUAGAAGAUAUACAAUUUCCUCGUUUAUGGCGCCCCCUAAUGGCGAAAUUUUCCGAAUUUUUUAUCGUACGACAUUAAGGUUAGCACCAACAUGUGUGUAAAAUUUGAACUCGUUCCGAUGUCUAAUUUUGGAUUUCUUUGGAAUUUUGAUUUUCCACGUCUAAUUUAGCUCAUAAACCAAUAUUCAAAACGCUACCGUUUCGUCGUCGAAGGUCCGAUCAAAAAAGUGUCUAUCAAUUCUAUGCGUGUGCGUCUGAAGAUGCCGUGUGCAAAGUUUGGUGUCGAUUGGUCAAGAAAUGUGGGAGGAGUAGGGAAAAUACAGUUUUGCGGUUUUCGCGAUUUUGCGAAAAAAAAUUAUAGACGCAAAUGGGCGUGGCCUAUGCCAAAAGAUGCAGCAGACUCCAGUGAAUAUGUGUGUACAAGUUUUUGACUGUGGGAGGUUUGGUGUGGGAGUUAUAGCCCCAAACGCGUAUUCCUUGGUAUAGCGCCACCUAGUGGCCGGCGUGUCUGGAUUUUGUCGUCUGAAUAGUCUUCACGGACCUGGAUCUAGUCAUGCAAUUGGCAUGUCGGCACCAUUUACG